UACGUAGGGGGGCAAGCGUUGUCCGGAAUCAUUGGGCGUAAAGAGCGUGUAGGCGGUUCGCAAAGUCUGGUGUGAAAACUUGAGGCUCAACCUCAAGCUGUCACUGGAUACUGGCGGACUUGAGUCCGGAAGAGGAGAGUGGAAUUCCUGGUGUAGCGGUGGAAUGCGCAGAUAUCAGGAGGAACACCUAUGGCGAAGGCAGCUCUCUGGUACGUGACUGACGCUGAGACGCGAAAGCGUGGGGAGCGAACAGG
rnacentral:rRNA from 1 species